CUGGCGUCAGGAUGAACGCUAGCUACAGGCUAACACAUGCAAGUCGAGGGGCAGCAUGGGGUAGCAAUACUCAGAUGGCGACCGGCGCACGGGUGAGUAACACGUAUCCAACCUGCCGCUUACUCGGGGAUAGCCUUUCGAAAGAAAGAUUAAUACCCGAUGGUAUAAAGAGUUCGCAUGUUCUCUUUAUUAAAGAAUUUCGGUAAGCGAUGGGGAUGCGUUCCAUUAGAUUGUUGGCGGGGUAACGGCCCACCAAGUCUACGAUGGAUAGGGGUUCUGAGAGGAAGGUCCCCCACAUUGGAACUGAGACACGGUCCAAACUCCUACGGGAGGCAGCAGUGAGGAAUAUUGGUCAAUGGACGAGAGUCUGAACCAGCCAAGUAGCGUGAAGGAUGACUGCCCUAUGGGUUGUAAACUUCUUUUAUAAGGGAAUAAAGUGAGGGACGUGUCCCUUUUUGUAUGUACCUUAUGAAUAAGGAUCGGCUAACUCCGUGCCAGCAGCAGC
rnacentral:rRNA from 1 species